rnacentral:piRNA from 1 species
UAGACGGAGUCUCAUUUGACCUGUGAUGGA